GAUGAAAACGUAGCGAAAUGCGAUAAGUAAUGUGAAUUGCAGAAUUCAGUGAAUCAUCGAAUCUUUGAACGCACAUUGCGCCCGCCAGUAUUCUGGCGGGCAUGCCUGUUCGAGCGUCAUUACAACCCUCAGGCCCCCGGGCCUGGCGUUGGGGAUCGGCGGAAGCCCCCUGCGGGCACAACGCCGUCCCCCAAAUACAGUGGCGGUCCCGCCGCAGCUUCCAUUGCGUAGUAGCUAACACCUCGCAACUGGAGAGCGGCGCGGCCACGCCGUAAAACACCCAACUUCUGAAUGUUGACCUCGAAUCAGGUAGGAAUACCCGCUGAACUUAAGCAUAUCAAUAAGCGGAGGA
rnacentral:misc_RNA from 1 species